rnacentral:rRNA from 1 species
AUUGAACGCUGGCGGCAUGCUCUACACAUGCAAGUCGAACGGUAACAGGCCGCAAGGUGCUGACGAGUGGCGAACGGGUGAGUAAUGCAUCGGAACGUGCCCAGUCGUGGGGGAUAACUACUCGAAAGAGUAGCUAAUACCGCAUACGAUCUAUGGAUGAAAGCGGGGGACCGUAAGGCCUCGCGCGAUUGGAGCGGCCGAUGUCAGAUUAGGUAGUUGGUGGGGUAAAGGCCCACCAAGCCAACGAUCUGUAGCUGGUCUGAGAGGACGACCAGCCACACUGGGACUGAGACACGGCCCAGACUCCUACGGGAGGCAGCAGUGGGGAAUUUUGGACAAUGGGCGCAAGCCUGAUCCAGCAAUGCCGCGUGCAGGAAGAAGGCCUUCGGGUUGUAAACUGCUUUUGUACGGAACGAAACGGCUCUGGUUAAUACCCGGGGCUAAUGACGGUACCGUAAGAAUAAGCACCGGCUAACUACGUG